AUACGGAGGGUGCAAGCGUUACUCGGAAUCACUGGGCGUAAAGCGCGCGCAGGCGGCUAUUUAAGUUGGAUGUGAAAGCCUACGGCUCAACCGUAGAACUGCAUCCAAAACUAUUUGGCUAGAGUGUGGGAGAGGAAGAUGGAAUUAGUUGUGUAGGGGUAAAAUCCGUAGAGAUAACUAGGAAUACCAAAAGCGAAGGCAAUCUUCUGGAACACUACUGACGCUGAGGCGCGAAAGCGUGGGGAGCAAACGGGAUUAGAAACCCCGGUAGUCC
rnacentral:rRNA from 1 species